CAGCAGACGUCGUGGUGAUAGAGACCGGUAAUGAUGAGAGGGCACCAAUUAUCUUAGGGAGGCCAUUCUUGAACACCUCGGGAGCUGUCAUCUACGCUAGUGCUGCCAAGAUCAGUUUCUACAUCAAAGGGAGAAAGGAGACAUUUUUCUUCAAGAACAAGACUAUACAAAUCCUUGAUCAAUCCAGACGUGAAUCAAGGAAGAGGACCAACAGGAGGAACAGGAACAAGCAAGUGUGGACCGAGUCAGCUAAGAUGGUCACUGUAGUUCAAGGAGGUCAAGAUCAUCGACUUAAGUCACCGUUUUUGACCAAGAAGGACGACCCAGGAAUGCCAAGCAUCUAUUGCUCCAUCAAUGGGUACAACUUCUACAAGACACUUUGCGACACCGGAUCGGGCGUCAACAUAAUGGCCGCAUUCAUCUAUCGGCUCUUGUUCGGAACCAUGCCCUUAAAACCAACAUACAUUCAGCUCCAGAUGGCAGAUCAGACAUUUCGAGAGGUUAAAGGAACAGUAACUGAUGUCCCUGUCAAAAUAGACGAUCAUUUUGUCUACACAGACUUUUAGGUUAUUGACAUGGCAGAAGACGAGUACGAUCCACCCAUCAUCCUUAGAAGUCCGUUCCUCAGCACCGUUAAAGCAAUCAUCUACAUUGGUACUGGAGAAGUCCAUAUGCACUUCCCCUCAGAGAAGGUACGCCGCUAUUUUACUAACCCUAACUAUAUCGUUGAAGACUCUAAGCAGGUCUGGAAAUGAUGCAACCGCAACUAGAGGAGGCAAAUUAUCAAGGACGGAUGGGCAGACUAUGAAGGAGAAGUGAUAAGGUCAGAAGACAUACAGUUUAAACAGAACUAUCCUGAGGAGACCGUAUCACCGAGUCAGGUGCGAAGAGAGAAGAUAACUAUGCAUGAAGAAGAGGCGCCGCCGGAAGUACCGACUAUGCAACCAACGAAUCCCAAGACAAUUGAGAAAAUGGAGAGUCCCGUUCGGAGGACUUAAAAACACCGAACGCCUUGCCAAGAGGUAAACUUGGUAGUUAUCCUUUCCCUUUCAAUUAUUUCAAAUAGUUUACCUAGUUAAUCAUGUUCAUACUCUCCUAAAAAGAAAAUAAAAAUGUUAAAAAAUAGUAAGCCCCAUGUGAGUAUAUGAGUGGCAUAAACCCCAUAAGUACAUUCACUGUGGUGGCAUAAAAAUAAAAUAAAUAUUUCUUUGUGCUUUAUAAAAUAAAAAUAUAAAAAUAGGGAGUAAUAGUUAUUAAGGAGACUCAACAUGAUAAAGGCUAGAUAUUUAUGCUAACACUUAAUCAGUUUCACAAAGCUUUGUUGUCUAUUUGAGCUCCACAGAAUUUAAGAAUCAAGAAAACUAGCAGAUGGAGGACAUUCUAAUCGCUAUCAGAAUGCUGCCGACUUUCAAAUACACCUCUGCCACCUGCUAGCUACAUCAAAAGAAAUUACCUCAAAAUUUAGCUUGGGGGAGAGCACCCCCAUUUAUCCCGAUAAGUAUUUCUAUCUAUCUAUCUUUAUACUUAUAUUAUAUUAAAAUAUAAAUAUACAUAGUUAUGGAAAACCAAAUAAAGAUUUUAUGCUUAUAUAUAUCUUUAGCUUAGUGUGUUUAAUAAAUAAAUAAAGUGGCUAUGCUAAUCUGAAUCUUAAUGAUAAAACUCUAGCAUGGAUAUGAUGAAUAGUUGCUCUGCCUAAUUUUAAAAUCUGAAGUUCUCUCUCAAGUUUAGACAUAACUGUUAUAAUUUAAAGCUUGCUCUAAACCUAAACUUGUGGGAAGAAAACUUGAUCUGAAGUCUAAGUUGUUAACGGAUAUGAUACGGGAAGGUUGAACUGCUGUUUAUCUGUUCCUAGAGAUGCUAGAAUUCUGGAGAAUUUUAUCUUUGAAAAAUCUUUAAAAUUGCAUGAUGAGUUCCUAUAUGAUGAGAGUUUAAAUUCCUACCACAGCCAUAUAUACAUGCUUGCUAGACUUUGAGCCACACAUUUACUUUUUACUGCUUAUGAGCAUUGAGUGUGGUUAAGCUGUGUAGACCCUUAGGAGCUUGUCAUGUGGUUAAAUCAAGAUUCACUUGCACGUUUACUCACACAUGCUACUUCUACUACGGAAGUACCAUCCACAUAUAUCCACCCAUUUCCAUCUCCAGAAUCACCCAAAAAUAUUCUACUCCUAAUCCAGGAGAGAAUGGCCAAAAAUAUUUCUGUUUUUUCCUUGAGAAAAAAUGCUCAAGUUAUCUUGUUACUACCACUUGCUAUAUUAUCUCAAGAGAUGAGUGCUCUAAAAAAAUAUAUAUGAGGAAAUAAAAAGGGGAAAGUGCCCGGAACCUCGAAAGAAAAGAAAAAGUGAGACGAGAGGUAAAAAUGGACAAGUGUCCGACAGUAGAAUUAGGGGUACAAGAUACCCACCUGAGAGAAGAAAAAAGAAGAGCAUCUCAUUCUCCUCAUAAAGUUUCAAAUAGCAAGGAAGGUAUGUAUCCUUUCAAAGAGCAAAAGUAGAAUUAGACUUUCACCAUUGUUAACACCAUCAUCACCAUACACCAUUCAUUCGCCACACAUGCACAUCUUGAUUUGACUUACUGAUUUGUUUCUUUGGAUCCAUUGUUUGACUAUACAAUACAUGUCUUGUAAGUAUGUAUACUUUAUCUCCCACCUUUGAGCUCUAGAUAUUAAAGCCUUAUUAGAGUAGGGUGAGAGAGAAGGCAAUGUUACUAUGCCUUAUACCACAAAUACUACAUAUUUUGAGAGAAGGCAUAUACCAUUACUGCCUUGGUAAGGAUCCAGAAAUACCACAAAAGAGAGAUAUGAGAGAGUCAUACAAGGAAUCUUUGAGUUUUAUUUGAAAAUAUGCAAAAACUCCAGAGCUAUAGCUGAUCA
rnacentral:lncRNA from 1 species